rnacentral:rRNA from 1 species
UCCAGACUCCUACGGGAGGCAGCAGUCGGGAAUAUUGCACAAUGGAGGAAACUCUGAUGCAGUGACGCCGCGUGCAGGAAGAAGGUUUUAGGAUUGUAAACUGCUUUAGACAGGGAAGAAAAAAGACAGUACCUGUAGAAUAAGCUCCGGCUAACUACGUGCCAGCAGCCGCGGUAAUACGUAGGGAGCAAGCGUUAUCCGGAUUUAUUGGGUGUAAAGGGUGCGUAGACGGGAAUUUAAGUUAGUUGUGAAAUACCUCGGCUUAACUGAGGAACUGCAACUAAAACUGAAUUUCUUGAGUGCUGGAGAGGAAAGUGGAAUUCCUAGUGUAGCGGUGAAAUGCGUAGAUAUUAGGAGGAACACCAGUGGCGAAGGCGACUUUCUGGACAGUAACUGACGUUGAGGCACGAAAGUGUGGGGAGCAAACAGGAUUAGAUACCCUCGUA